UGAUCUGUUUAGCAUCUGUCUUCCCCACUAACCUGUGAACUUCUUGAGAGCAGAAUCUAUGUACAUCCAUGCUCCCUGAAUUCAAGAUCAUGCCUAAUACAUGACCCACUGGAGGCCAACCAGCAUUCCGGCAAUGUCUUCUGAUGAUUCGUGUGCACAUCCAAGAUGGAGAAGCACUCGCUUUAACACCCUUCACUUCGAAACUCCAACUCCUCUCUGCCUUACACGAAACUCAUGUGUGUCCAGGAAAAGGCAUGACUCCUGCUCCCUGUAGUGACUCCCAGAAGCAGGGGAAGUGGGGCAGAAAUCUGCUGAGCUCAGCUACAAACACUGUUCACAAUUGAG